GGUGAGGUGUCCGAGUGGCUGAAGGAGCACGCCUGGAAAGUGUGUAUACGGCAACGUAUCGGGGUUCGAAUCCCCCCUCACCG
rnacentral:tRNA from 1 species